UAGGGAAUCUUCCACAAUGGGCGCAAGCCUGAUGGAGCAACGCCGCGUGAGUGAAGAAGGUCUUCGGAUCGUAAAACUCUGUUGUUAGAGAAGAACGUGUGUGAGAGUGGAAAGUUCACACAGUGACGGUAACUUACCAGAAAGGGACGGCUAACUACGUGCCAA
rnacentral:rRNA from 1 species